rnacentral:rRNA from 1 species
AACGAACGCUGGCGGCAGGCUUAACACAUGCAAGUCGAACGCACCGCAAGGUGAGUGGCAGACGGGUGAGUAACGCGUGGGAACGUACCCUUUACUACGGAAUAGCUCCGGGAAACUGGAAUUAAUACCGUAUGUGCCCUUCGGGGGACAGAUUUAUCGGUAAAGGAUCGGCCCGCGUUGGAUUAGCUAGUUGGUGGGGUAAAGGCCUACCAAGGCGACGAUCCAUAGCUGGUCUGAGAGGAUGAUCAGCCACAUUGGGACUGAGACACGGCCCAAACUCCUACGGGAGGCAGCAGUGGGGAAUAUUGGACAAUGGGCGCAAGCCUGAUCCAGCCAUGCCGCGUGAGUGAUGAAGGUCUUAGGAUUGUAAAGCUCUUUCACCGGGGAAGAUAAUGACGGUACCCGGAGAAGAAGCCCCGGCUAACUUCGUGCCAGCCGCCGCCGUAA